AAGGUUUUUGAUCUUUAUAGGACUUAAAAUCCUUUUAAAGACAGAGUUUUAGCAACAGGAGUUAGAACAAUAUUUUACCCACGAUCAGUACAGCUGUAGUCACAACUGCCCUUAACCCUUUAUAGGGCAAGUGACUGUUUUUGGUAAUUUCCACACCUGUUACUUAUCACGCCCUUCCCCCGUCUCAGUGAGUUCAAGAGUCAUGGGAUCUUUACCCAUGACUCAGCAAAGAUCAUUCUACAUUAUAGGUUACUCAAUUGUGCAACUUGACCAAUCAGCACAGAGCAGGGUCACAUCAAAUUUCCCUUUCUCUGCAAAAUCAGAAAAAGUUGCUUUUGCAGCUCAGUUCACUGGACAUUUUCAAAGGAAUCGUCAAAACUAACCAUGUUUCCAUCAAUUUUUUAUGGCAAGAGGAGGGAGACUGCUGUUGUGCCAGUCCACCCUGACAUUAGUGAUGUUGAUGAGGAUCAAGAUGAUGAUGUGUCAGACCCCGACUUCGCCCCACCCACCAACAACCAGGACAUUCCCAGACCCUCACACACAGUUGUGUGAGGGUCUAUUCAACACUUUUGUUAUUAGCACUUUUUGUUAUUAUCACGUUUAUGUUCUAAAAGUGAUGUUCAAAUGUUCAAAUACAUAAUAUGUGUUUUUCUUAUAUGUAUAUAUAUAUGUAUACUUAUUGGAAUUUGUUUUCCCACUCACGGGCAAGUGACCAAAUAUGGUAACUUCAUUGGCAUUGAUUUUCUACAUGAAAAUAAAAAAAAUUGAAAAAUGU